ACGCCAAUUUGCCUCUACUCUGGGGCUUUUGUCUGGGAGCUCCAAAAACUGUUGGGUAGCAUAAAAUCAGGGCUUAAGUCGUGUAGUGUGAACUAGGCAUAACGUAAAAACAUGAAAGUCUCUCUCUAGAGCCAGUGUUUGGUUUUUCCGUUCCGGGCUACGGUAGAAACAUUGGGGAGCAACAUGGUGGACUCCGUGAAGAGAGACCCGCUCCCUAUGUAGAUACAAACGGCACAUUGUUACGGUAACAAAAACAUAACGAUUGUUAUUUUCAUGUGAUUAUACACUAAAGAAAACAUAUUCAUUAAUAUUAAAUUUCAUUUCUGUCAUAGAUCCCACUAAAUGCUACACACUGUUCCUUUAAAUAGUCAGAACCUAACCAAAAGCAGGACGCAAACCUGCAAACUUGUCUGUCAAAAUCCUGUAUGCCCAUCAUUCAUCUUUACCACCACCUGACAACUUUUGUACAGUAUCAGUAAACUUCAUGAAUAUGAAAAAGUUGCAGCCAUUACAUUACCUUCAACAUGUAUUUGGAAAAACUAAUUAGUAGUAUAUGAAAGUAAGUUCGUGCUAUACAUUUGGAUGGAAACUUGACUAAUGACUGUGUUAAAGAUUUGCUUUCAAUUUCUGGAUUUUGAAGAUCACAAGCAAAAAAAAUGUAAGGCUGCAAGGAUAAUUAUUACUUACAGUGAGGUUUUAGAUUUGUAACUUUUUUUAAUAGCAUUUAGGUUCACUCUCUGUGAGAUCAAAUAAACGGUGCUGGAAGUGUCCCAGCGGGGCUUGAACAUCAGAAUGAACUUCAUGCCUGUGCAUCGGGAAGUAUCUCGUUACCCAUCUUAAGCCAUUAAUCUGUCCAGUGCAUCAGUCUAAUAGCAAGCUGGCCUUAAGUGAACAACAGAGUGUGGGUGACAUCGGCUAGCAGGAAGAUGAGCUGUCAGUCAGGUGAUUGACAGACUUGUAGGGGACUCGCAGCCGCCGAAAGCUAAAAGGGAAACAGCCGAUUGCUCACCGAGAAGAGAGAGGAGGGAGUCAACAGCCUCGCCAGCCAUCCCGCCUAAUGAUGGCGGCCCACAAACCCACAUACCGGGAUAGAUCAGCCCCGCGUCGUGUCAGCGCAGCAUUAUUAAUGACACACACUUAAAACCUUAUUACAGCCUCGGCUUGCGGGUUCGCCUGGCGGCUCCAAGGUUGAGCCUGGCGGGGAUUGGCCAGGUAAUGAAUAAAUGACACGCUUAACCAUUCCACCAAAAUAAUAUUGCGCUACAUUAAUACGAGCAAGGAAAGGAGGGAGUUUAUAAAAGUGAAAGAGCAGCACAGUCUGUACAAUCACAGUUUCCAUAUGGAGAACACUAGCAGCCACGUUACAAUAACGGCUGUCAGACAGCAGCAAUGAUCAGGUGAGAUUAUGAGCUAAAGUGGUAAUGUUAUUCCUCAUGGCCAAGUUUUAUAUUCAAAGGAACUAGAAUAGAUAUAUGAAGUAUGAUAUGGCUAUAAUACCAGCCAUUAAUCUUCAUAAUGGUUCCGCAGAAAAUGGACGAGUAAUUCUAUCAGCUGUCCAACGAGAGGGUCAGCCAAAGCCAGGGGUGUUCCAUUAAUAUUAUCCCUUUUCAUACCUUGUUUUAUAUAGCUGCACUAGUCAAUAUUUUAUAUUAACAAUACAUUAAAAGUGUAAAGUGAAAAGGGGUCGCCCGUAAUGGUGAUCCCACAGAGAAUUAUCAAAGUUCCUUCUUUUAUAUCUUAUCGUAAUGCCUUUUAAUAUCUUAUGUAAAGCACAAUUGACCUGUUGAAAGGUGCUGUACAAAUAAACCUGCCUUUCAUUGCCUU